AGCGAACGUUAGCGGCGGGCCUAACACAUGCAAGUCGAACGCGAAAGGUCUUCGGACUGAGUAGAGUGGCGCACGGGUGAGUAACACGUAGGUAAUCUACCCUUUGGCGGGGGAUAACGUUCCGAAAGGAGCGCUAAUACCGCAUAAGACCACGGAGUCUCCGGACGCUGUGGGAAAAGGUGGCCUCUUCUUGAAAGCUACCACCGAAGGAUGAGCCUGCGUCCCAUCAGCUAGUUGGUAAGGUAAUGGCUUACCAAGGCGAAGACGGGUAGCUGGUUUGAGAGAAUGAUCAGCCACACUGGCACUGGAACACGGGCUAGACUCCUACGGGAGGCAGCAGUGAGGAAUAUUGGGCAAUGGGCGCAAGCCUGAUCCAGCAAUGCCGCGUGUGUGAAGAAGGCCUGCGGGUUGUAAAGCACUUUCAGUGGGGAAGAACAGAUUCGGGUCAAUACCCCGGAGCCCUGACGUUACCCACAGAAGAAGCACCGGCUAACUCCGUGCCAGCA
rnacentral:rRNA from 1 species